CAAUAGCGUAUAUUAAAGUUGUUGCGGUUAAAAGCUCGUAGUUGGAUUUCUGUGGUGGGCAGCCGGUCCACACUAUGUGUGAGCAUCGGUUCGGCCACUGCAUCCUCCUGAGGACCGUGGUGCGCUUCAUUGCGUGGUGCGGAAUUCAGGACUUUUACUUUGAGGAAAUUAGAGUGUUCACGGCAGGCGCUUGCCCUGAAUAUAUUAGCAUGGAAUAAUAAUAUAGGGCGAUAGUUCUAUUUUGUUGGUUUCUAGAGCUGUCGCAAUGAUUAAUAGGGAUAGUUGGGGGCAUUCGUAUUAUGAAGUCAGAGGUGGAAUUCUUGGAUUUUCAUACGACGAACUACUGCGAAAGCAUUUGCCAAGGAUGUUUUCAUUGAUCAAGAACGAAAGUAAGGGGAUCGAAGAUGAUCAGAUACCGU
rnacentral:rRNA from 1 species